UACGUAGGGCGCAAGCGUUGUCCGGAAUUAUUGGGCGUAAAGCGCUCGUAGGCGGUUUGUCGCGUCGGAUGUGAAAGCCCGGGGCUUAACCCCGGGUCUGCAUUCGAUACGGGCAGACUGGAGUGUGGUAGGGGAGAUCGGAAUUCCUGGUGUAGCGGUGAAAUGCGCAGAUAUCAGGAGGAACACCGGUGGCGAAGGCGGAUCUCUGGGCCAUUACUGACGCUGAGGAGCGAAAGCGUGGGGAGCGAACAGG
rnacentral:rRNA from 1 species